GACGAACGCUGGCGGCGUGCCUAAUACAUGCAAGUCGAACGCUUCUUUCCUCCCGAGUGCUUGCACUCAAUUGGAAAGAGGCGUGGCGGACGGGUGAGUAACACGUGGGUAACUACCCAUCAGAGGGGGAUAACACUUGGAAACAGGUGCUAAUACCGCAUAACAGUUUAUGCCGCAUGGCAUAAGAGUGAAAGGCGCUUUCGGGUGUCGCUGAUGGAUGGACCCGCGGUGCAUUAGCUAGUUGGUGAGGUAACGGCUCACCAAGGCCACGAUGCAUAGCCGACCUGAGAGGGUGAUCGGCCACACUGGGACUGAGACACGGCCCAGACUCCUACGGGAGGCAGCAGUAGGGAAUCUUCGGCAAUGGACGAAAGUCUGACCGAGCAACGCCGCGUGAGUGAAGAAGGUUUUCGGAUCGUAAAACUCUGUUGUUAGAGAAGAACAAGGACGUUAGUAACUGAACGUCCCCUGACGGUAUCUAACCAGAAAGCCACGGCUAACUACGUG
rnacentral:rRNA from 1 species